GGAAAAGCUGAGCCGUGCCGCCGUGGAGGGCCGGGAGAUCCCAGCUGCUGCUCAGCCCGGACUGACGGAGCCCGGCGAGUGGCCCUGCACUGCGAACAAGGAAGAAGGGCGGGUCUGACACUUGGCAGCCCGACAGGAAGCGAACGUGAGCAGCGUUUUUCUGUGGGAAACUCUCUUUUUGAGCCCACCCUUUGCUAAGUGUGCCUCGAGCUGUCUGCCCGUGGCCCUCAGCACUAAAGCAACGCCGCGGACGCCGAGCCUCACCCUCUUCUUCAGGGACUUAUCAGCAGGAAAUGAACUCAGCUGGAACGCUUCGUACCAGUGACAUUUUGGUGCUCGGGUCCUGCAGCUGCAGCGCUUCUGAGAGCACAGACACACAAACACACACGUGCCAACACCCACACGGACACACGGACGCACGGACGCACGGACCGGCGUGCCAGGCUCUCUGCACUCCUGGGAAUUGAUGUCAGUGGGAAAGUCUCCUUAACCAAAGGGAGCUAAAUGGAAGGACGUGGCUCUAAAGUGGCUCUCACUGAGCUGAACUUGAAUGCAGCGGCAAUGACUUUAAUCACCCCGGCAAGUGACUUUAAUCACCCUGGCUGUCAUUUGGAUGCGGGGAGCGGGCCUGGCUCAGGAAUCAAGCGCUGCACACACAGCCCCCGAGUGUUAUCUGGACACAGAAAGGUUUCUGUUCACGGACAGACUGCAUGACCUAGACAGGAAGCCUGGAGCAGAGCACAGCCAGGCUGUGUCUGAGGGGAAAGCGUGCCCAGCCCAUGCAGCAACCAGGCUGGCUGCAGAGAGAGCUGGCUCAGGGAAAACCAGCUCUGAAGAGGGCAGACAAAACAGGACACAAGCCAGGAUGACAAAAUGACACAAUGCCAGGAUGGAAACCUUGCCCACUUUCUGGCUAAAAUAUAUCUUCUCCAGGGACACAGCCUGAAGCCCAUCACAUAUAAAACACACUGAAAUUAAGAUAGUUCCGUGAACUCGACCUUGGAGGAA